rnacentral:rRNA from 1 species
UACGGGGGAGCAAGCGUUGUUCGGAUUUACUGGGCGUAAAGGGCGCGUAGGCGGUCAGCACAAGUCAGUUGUGAAAUCUCCGGGCUUAACUCGGAAAGGUCAACUGAUACUGUGCGACUAGAGUGCAGAAGGGGCAACUGGAAUUCUCGGGUGUAGCGGUGAAAUGCGUAGAUAUCGAGAGGAACACCUGCGGCGAAGGCGGGUUGCUGGGCUGACACUGACGCUGAGUGCGCGAAAGC